rnacentral:rRNA from 1 species
AACGUACGCUGGCGGCACGCCUAACACAUGCAAGUCGAACGAAGUAGCAAUACUUAGUGGCAGACGGGUGAGUAACAUGUAGGUAUCUGCCCUUUGGCCUGGAAUAACACGAGGAAACUUGUGCUAAUACCGGAUAAGUCUUUACGGAGAAAGCUUUAUGCACCAUUGGAUGAGCCUGCACUUGAUUAGUUUGUUGGUGGGGUAAUGGCCUACCAAGACUGUGAUCAAUAGCUGAUUUGAGAGGAUGAUCAGCCACAUUGGGACUGAGACACGGCCCAAACUCCUACGGGAGGCAGCAGUGGGGAAUCUUGCACAAUGGAGGAAACUCUGAUGCAGCGAUGCCGCGUGAGUGAAGAAGGCCCUUGGGUUGUAAAGCUCUUUCGUCGGGGAAGAAAAUGACUGUACCCGAAUAAGAAGGUCCGGCUAACUUCGUGCCAGCAGCCGCGGUAAUACGAAGGGACCUAGCGUAGUUCGGAAUUACUGGGCUUAAAGAGUUCGUAGGUGGUUGAAAAAGUUAGUGGUGAAAUCCCAGAGCUUAACUCUGGAACUGCCAUUAAAACUUUUCGGCUAGAGUAUGAUAGAGGAAAGCAGAAUUUCUAGUGUAGAGGUGAAAUUCGUAGAUAUUAGAAAGAAUACCAAUUGCGAAGGCAGCUUUCUGGAUCAUUACUGACACUGAGGAACGAAAGCAUGGGUAGCGAAGAGGAUUAGAUACCCUCGUAGUCCAUGCCGUAAACGAUGUGUGUUAGACGUUGGAAAUUUAUUUUCAGUGUCGCAGGGAAACCGAUAAACACACCGCCUGGGGAGUACGACCGCAAGGUUAAAACUCAAAUGAAUUGACGGGGACCCGCACAAGUAGUGGAGCAUGUGGUUUAAUUCGAAGAUACGCGCAGAACCUUACCAACACUUGACAUGUUCGUCGCGACUCUAAGAGAUUAGAGUUUUCGGUUCGGCCGGACGAAACACAGGUGCUGCAUGGCUGUCGUCAGCUCGCGUCGUGAGAUGUUGGGUUAAGUCCCGCAACGAGCGCAACCCUCACUUUUAGUUGCCAUCAUUAAGUUGGGCACUCUGAAGGAACUGCCAGUGAUAAGCUGGAGGAAGGUGGGGAUGACGUCAAGUCCUCAUGGCCCUUACGUGUUGGGCUACACACGUGCUACAAUGGUAUCUACAACAGGAAGCAAGACUGCGAAGUUAAGCAAAUCCCUAAAAGAUACCUCAGUUCGGAUUGCACUCUGCAACUCGAGUGCAUGAAGCUGGAAUUACUAGUAAUCGUGGAUCAGCGUGCCACGGUGAAUGCGUUCCCGGGUCU